GAUGUGUUAAUCAAACUAAUAAGAUGCACUAAGAAUGCAAAUGAGUUGUGGUAAUAAAGCUAAUGAGAUGUGCUUAGAAUGCCAAUGAGAUUUGGUAAUAAAGCCAAGGAGAUGUGGUAAUAUGCUAAUGAGAUGUGCUUAGAAUGCCAAAGAGAUGUGCUAAGAAUGCCAAAGAGAUGUGCUAAGAAUGCCAAUGAGAUGUGCAAAAUAUGCCAAGAAGAUGUGCUUAAAAUGCCAAUAAGAUGUGUUGAUCCUACUAAUGAGAUGCGCUAAGAAUGCAAAUGAGAUGUGGUAUAAAGCUAAUGAGAUGUGCUAAGAAAGCCAAUGAGAUGUGGUAAUAAAGCUAAUGAGAUGCACUAAGAAUGCAAAUGAGUUGUGGUAAUAAAGCUAAUGAGAUGUGCUUAGAAUGCCAAUGAGAUUUGGUAAUAAAGUUAAUGAGAUGCACUAAGAAUGCAAAUGAGUUGUGGUAAUAAAGCUAAUGAGAUGCACUUAUAAGAAUGUAAAUUAAAUGUGGUAAUAAAGCUAAUGAGAUGCACUUAUAAGAAUGUAAAUGAGAUGUGGUAAUAAAGCUAAUGAGUUGCACUAAGAAUGCAAACGAGAUGUGGUAGUAAAGCUAAUGAGAUGUGGUAGUAAAGCUAAUGAGAUGUGCUUAGAAAGCCAAUGAGAUGUGGUAAUAAAGCUAAUGAGAUGUGGCAAUAAAGUUAAUGAGAUGCACUAAGAAUGCAAAUGAGUUGUGGUAAUAAAGCUAAUGAGAUGUGGUAGUAAAGCUAAUGAGAUGCACUUAUAAGAAUGCACAUGAGAUGUAGUAAUAAAGCUAAUGAGUUGCACUAAGAAUGCCAAUGAGAUGUGCUUAGAAUGCCAAUGAGAUUUGGUUAUAAAGCCAAUGAGAUAUUCUAAAAAUGCCAAUGAGAUGUGCUUAGAAUGCCAAUAAGAUUUGUUAAUACAACUAAUGAGAUGCGCUAAGAAUGCAAAUGAGAUAUGAUAUAAAGCUUAUGAGAUGUGCUUAGAAAGCCAAUGAGAUGUGGUAAUAAAGUUAAUGAGAUGUGGUAAUAAAAGUUAAUGAGAUAUGAUAAUAAAGCUAAUGAGAUGUGGUAAUAAAGCUAAUGAGAUGUGGUAAUAAAGCUAAUGAAAUUUGGUAAUAAAGCUAAUGAGAUGUUGCAAUAAUGCUAAUGAGAUGUGGCAAUAAAGUUAAUGAGAUGUGCUACGAAUUCAUGAGAUGUGGUAGUAAAGCUAAUUAGAUGCACUUAUAAGUAUGCAAAUGAGAUGUGGUAAUGAAGCUAAUGAGUUGCACUAAGAAUGCAAAUGAGAUGUGGUAAUAAAGCUAAUGAGAUGUGCUAAGAAUUCACAUGAGAUGUGGUAGAAAGGCUAAUGAUAUUUGGUAAUAAAGCUAAAUAGAUGUGGUAAUAGUGCCAAUGAGUGGUGAUAUUUAUGCAAAUUCAAUUUGGUAAGAAAUGCCAAUGAGAUGUGGUAAUAAAGCUAAUGAGAUGUAUUAAGAAUGCCAAUGAGAACUAUCCACCACAGAUAAAACCACAAGGCUGUAAGAGUUAUCUUUCUUUCAUGUGAUUUUUAUGUAUACUUUGUAAACUUUGUAAGCUCCCCUACAGCUGAUAGUUAAACAUUUUCAUCAUUUUAUAUUUAAAGUUACCCUUUUAAUAAAAUAAUUUUAUGAAUAAACUUUUAUAAAUUAGCAAGAUGAAAAAGCUUGCUAUAAAUCUCAAAUUCCAAAUUUUCUGGAAAAAAAACCGUAAAUAACCACUUGAUUUUUUUGCCAAUUUAAAAAAAAGAUAUACCAGUAAUGACACGAGGAUAGAUGUGUGGAAUCAAAUAGGUAACAACUAUAGUGAUAAUGAAAUAUUCUAAUAAUAACCAGUUUUAAAUGUAUUGACUUAAUGGACUUAUUGUAUGAUGUUAUAUGUGACCAGUCAGAAUAAUGGACAAUGAAAUAUUCAAAUGAUGGAACUGACUGACUUUAAGUGAAUAGACUAAACUCGGGAUUGAACAGCCUUGGAAUUGGACCGACAAGUAAAUAUUGACACCCGCCUUGGAACCAGCAAGUGAAUUAUUGACAUUUAUAUUGAUGUGACCAGUAUUCAUGUAGAUGGACAGUACUAGUGGACUAUAAACUGAUAAAUCUCACAGAAAGGCACAUCACAACUGGGUCUGAAGCUGUUACAUGCAAAAGACGAGAUAUCCAGGAAAUUUUGAAGAAUUGUAUGUGAUCUAUAACAAGAUCUGAGGACAGUAGGACCUGGAAGUACUAUAUUACCAACUUCAAGAUUAACUGAUUGGGAAUUUACAAAUCAACUGAUAAAAGAAAAAGACUAAUUUUGCCAUUUAGACGAACUUGGAAACAAUUAUUGACAAACAAUAUAGUGUAUUAUUAUUCUUGUUGAAAUCAACAGAGAGAGAGAGAGGAAGGAUAGGAGAGAGUCAAUUGUAAAGAUUUAUGUCUUUUUAACCAGACAUGUCGAUUAUAUUAGAAUUUCAGAGGCCUACAGUUUUAACAUUACAGGUGCUAAAUGGUCAUACAUGAAGUAGUUAAAGCAGUUUAAUGUUAAGACUUUGAUGUGACCAGCGAGAACAAUCAGGCAGCUGCCAUUGGUUUAAAUCUCUUUUUUCGAAGAUGUUUUGGUUACAUUAGAAUAAAUCUGUGUGGAACGUAAAAAAAAUGUAAAAAAUAAUUUGUGGUAUUUUGUACAGUUUCAUUAUGCAAUCUUGAAUACAUUUAUGAUUACUAUUUAUAAAGAAGUAUUAUCAUUAGAAUGAGGAUGGACAAUGUUUAAACAUUUAUUUGAGACAGAGCUCGAGUUUUGCAUUAUUUCAUAAAAAAAAUAAUUCUUUUUCUGUUAAUGAAGAACAAACAGGGAAAACAGACAAAGCUGCUAUUCUAUAAUUUUCAAAUUGUAUUUAUUUACAUUUGAUUGAUUAGUUGAAGAUUAACUACAAGUAUUCAGCAUAGUACAAAAUUAAGGAUGCACUGCAAGUGUAUCUUUAUAGUUAUCAUCACACUAUGUCCAAUCUAGAUGUACAACACUCUUUUUUAUAGUGUUCUGUAAAUUAUCAGGAACACCAGUUGUGAUGAAUGGAAAGACUGGCAGGCUGAGAUUAUACAAGGGGAGGGAAUACCCCUGCUUAUCUUUUCAUACUGGUUAGUUCCUUUGGGAAAGGUUUUGUACAAAUGUUGUUCAUAUCAGAUGUAUACGUUUUGAAGAGAGUUGUUAUUUAGAGCUCUGUAAAA